GCCUCGGUGGUGUAGUGGUCAAACCACUCGCCUGUUAAUCAGGAGGGCGUGGGUUCAAUCCCAGCCGAGGUA
rfam:Asian citrus Psyllid, Diaphorina citri - Florida Strain, whole genome shotgun sequence.